AAUAUUUGACAAUGGGGGCAACCCUGAUCCAGCCAUGCCGCGUGUGUGAAGAAGGUCUUCGGAUUUUAAAGCACUUUAAGCUGGGAGGAAGGGCUUUAGGUUAAUACCCUUAAGCUUGGUAGUUACCGACCGAAUAAGCACCGGCUAACUCUGUGCCAGCAGCCGCGGUAAUACAGAGGGUGCAAGCGUUAAUCGGAAUUACUGGGCGUAAAGCGCGCGUAGGUGGUUCAGUAAGAUGGGUGUGAAAUCCCCGGGCUUAACCUGGGAACUGCUUUCAUAACUGCUGAGCUAGAGUACGGUAGAGGGUAGUGGAAUUUCCUGUGUAGCGGUGAAAUGCGUAGAUAUAGGAAGGAACACCAGUGGCGAAGGCGACUACCUGGACUGAUACUGACACUGAGGUGCGAAAGCGUGGGGAGCAAAC
rnacentral:rRNA from 1 species